ACUGCGCGCCAGGCCAGGUUCCUGAGAGCAGACAGCGCGGGCUGGGAGCGCCGGCAAGGGCGGCCCUCGCGCACCUGGCUGCCAGCCCGCAGGGGGCUCGCACGCAGACCUGCCCUUGCCACCUCAGCGCUCGGGUGCGGGCUGGGGGCGGUGGAGCCACGAAAGGUGGUGCCGAGAGCGGAGCGCAGGACAGCGCAGGAGCCCCGGCGCAUCGCGGCGCGCACAGACCCAGUGAGAAACUGAAGACCAGAGAGGGUGAGUGGUUUACUCAGUUUGGCACAACUGACCCCAACCUAGCCCUCCAUGAGGACUGAGCGCAUGAGAGAUCCUGAGCCACAGCCGCCCAGCCCUGCUCCUCUCGAAUUUCUGACCUACAGGAACUGCAAGAAGUAAUGAAAGACUGCUGUUUAAAGCCACUGCAUUUUGGCAUGAUUUGUUAUGCAGUCGUAGAUAACCAGAAAACAUCGGAUUUACAUUUUAAGGUAAACUUUUUAUUGAAACAUCACAUACACACAGAGACGUCCACCAAUUGGCUCGAUGAGCUUUCUCAAAGGAAACACAUU
rnacentral:lncRNA from 1 species